rnacentral:misc_RNA from 1 species
GCCCGUUGUUCCCCGAUGAAAACCCUUCCCAAUUAUUCAUGUACAAACAUAUAGUUGUUCCUUAAAUUGGCAAAAUGAAUAAUGACCUUAAAAAUGAGUCCAAGACAACUGAUCCCACAGUUCACCUGGUCCGGGAAAUCUUACUUGUUUCCUAUAAUUUUAGUGUUUGCUUCAUGUAUCUUAGUGCAGAGCGCAGCAUUGCUCUAGCUUUCCUAUCUGGAGUGCACCCAGCCGAAAUCAUUUCUUCAUACACAGA